AGCUGCCCUCGCAGCGAGACUCUGCCACAGAAAGGCUUCUCUGCAGCCAGCGCUCGUAUUCCUCCGGAGGCACCAACUAGAAAAGCGUAUAGAGGCCCACGGACAGGCGUACGCGUCGUCUCUGUACGGACAGGAAACCUCAGGCUCCUCGCACAGCAUGAUGAUGGAGCGCAAGCACUCUCUAAGCGGCCGCAUACAGAAACGAGACGGGGUUCAGUUACACAGAAAAAAAAUACCGGAAAAACAGAGACAAAAGAGAAGAGAGUCAACCUGAGCAUCUACGUAGCCGUUGACAACCACACAUAGCCGUUACAACAUGUCCCUGCAUGCAGGCAACUGCAAGAAAACACCACUAGGGCUGUCGGAUCCUUCUGAGCUCCAGAGCGUCCGGCUGGUGUCCUCCAGGGAUAAUGUAGCUCUCAGGCCGGUUUGUGCUGCAGAUCUCGCAGCCCGG